rnacentral:rRNA from 1 species
AAUGAACGCUGGCGGCGUGCCUAACACAUGCAAGUCGGAUGUGCCCGCAAGGGUGCAUGGCAGACGGGUGAGUAACGCGUGGGAAUCUACCCAUCAGUACGGAAUAACAUUUGGAAACAAAUGCUAAUACCGUAUAUUCUCUAAGGAGGAAAGAUUUAUCGCUGAUGGAUGAGCCCGCGUUAGAUUAGGUAGUUGGUAGGGUAAUGGCCUACCAAGCCGACGAUCUAUAGCUGGUCUGAGAGGAUGAUCAGCCACACUGGGACUGAGACACGGCCCAGACUCCUACGGGAGGCAGCAGUGGGGAAUAUUGGACAAUGGGGGAAACCCUGACGCAGCAACGCCGCGUGAGUGAGGAAGGACUUCGGUCUGUAAAGCUCUGUUAAUGUGGAAAAUGCUUGUUGGUCUAAUAGGCCAGUAAGUUGAUGGUACACAUAGAGGAAGCACCGGCUAACUUCGUGCCAGCAGCCGCGGUAAAG